UGGGUCGGCUCACCUAUUGGUGUAGGUAACGGUCUGUAAAACCGCCGCGAAAGAGUGUUGCUGGUUCAAUUCCAGCCCGACCCAUC
rnacentral:tRNA from 1 species